CUCUCUCUCUCAACUCUCUCUCUCUCUAAAGCUCACCUCCCAUGGCAACCCUAGCCCCAACCCACAACUUCUUGGGAGUCCUCUUUGAAUCAAAAUGAAUCAUCAAAGCCCACUCUUGCCACUUCCUCGCCCUCACAAUCCUCUUCCUCUUUCCCAUCUCUUUCUCUGUCAUUAUCUACCCAACUUUCCAAACUACUCUCUCUCAAUCCCAACCCAAACAAAUCCGAAUGCUCCCCUCCCAUCCAACCCAAAUCUCUGAUUACUCUCUCCACACCCUAGCUCUCCCCCUCAUCUUCAUCCUCUUUGUCUCCCUCUUCUCUCUCUACGCAAUAAGCACAAUCACCUACAUCACUUACCACGACUUGUACAGUAGACCUGUCAAAUUCGCCUCCGCCAUCAUAUCCCUAUUCUAUUCCUUCAUCACCCUCGUCAUCACAACAGUCAUCUCUUAAAUCGUCGUCUUUAUAGUUUUUGCCUCUUUUGUGAUUUUGGUGCCCAACUGGUUGAGAUUCUAAGCCUUGAUGUUGAUUACAAUUCGAAUUAUUUUCUGGAUUUUUGUGUUGUGGUUUCAGUGAUUUUGUUACUGGUAUUAGUUCUUUUGCAAGUGAAUUGGGCAUUGGCGUGUGUGAUUGUCGUGAUGCAAUCGAAAUGGGGGUUCGAGCUGUUGUGGCGGAGCACGUAUUUGAUGAAGGGGAUGAGACUAGUUUUGUUGUAUUUGAUGCUAUUUUUUGGGGCUAUGAUUAGGGUUGUGUGGGCUUGCUUGGGGACUUUCUUAAGCAGUUUCAGUGAUGUGUGGAAGUCCUUUUCUUUUGUUCUUCAGAUUGUGAUGGGUUCGAGUAUUAUGGCUAUGUUUUUGCUUCAGAAUUUGGCUUCUAAUACUGUGUUGUAUUGUAUAUGUAUUGCAAGGCUUUGCAUGGUGAACUGGCUAGGGAUAUUGUUGUAGUAGGUAGACUUUUUGGUAUUUCAAUCAUAUCUGCGAUAAGAGUUGGCCUUCUACUUGCUCCGGGUGGAGAGUUCGCAUUUGUGGCUUUUGGUGAAGCUGUUAAUCAAGGUAUAAUGUCUUGUCAGAUGUCGUCUUUGCUGUUUCUUGUGGUAGGGGUAUCAAUUGCCCUCACCCCAUGGUUAGCUGCCGGAGGCCAGUUACUAGCCUCUCGUUUUGAGCUACAUGAUGUGUGGAGUUUGUUACCUGUAGACUAUGAAGCACAAGUACGGACAUGGACACGGAUACGCAUACGGACACGGGACACGGCAAUUUCUGAAAAAUGGGGACACGACAAAUUUUUUAAUUUUUUUAUCAAUUUUUUUUAUUUUAACACACAUUAAUUAUUUUAUUUAUUAUUAUAUUUUUUAAAUAAUGUGUUCUAAUUAAUUUAUUUUAUUUUAUUUUACCUAUGUGUUUAUUUUAUUUUUUUUAAUUAAUAUGUAUAAGUAUAUAUCAUCUUAUAAUAUGUAUUAUAUAUUUUUCCUAUAGUUCAAAUUAUAUAUAUAUAUAUAUAUAUAAACCUAUAAACACUCUUCAAUUUGAAAAGAGUCUGUAUAUAUAUAUAUAUAAACCUAUAAUUUUUUUUAUAAAAAAAAAAAAUAGUCUUUGAAGGUUGAAAACAGUCUGUAUAUAUAUAUAAAUCUAAUUUAAAAAAAAAAGUCUUCAGCUUCGUUCAGCUUCGACAAGGAGAGAGAGAGAGAGAGGUUUACCUUCGAAGUCGUCUAAGGUCUUCGACUGUUCGAUCAAUUGAUGGAGCUUCGAUCUUCGACUGGAUGGAGCUUCGACUGGAGGUCUUCGAUCUUCGACUGGAUCGACUGGUUCAAGGAGGUGGUGGAUCGACUGGUUUAGGGCACUAAUGAUACUCUUCAAUUGAUUGAUUACUCUUCAAUUCAGCAACACUGAUAGACUAUAUUAGGGCAAGUUGAUUUUUUUUUAAUUAAUUAAUUUAUUUAUUUUUACUUUUUAAAUAUUACACUUGGACCCCAAAUAAAUAUAACAAAAUUAAAAUUCAGCUCCGUUGUGUCCCAUGCCAUGUCCUGAUAUGGACAUGCGUGUCCCCGCCAUGUCCCCUACAAAAAAAUUCAUUAAAUUAAAGGAACACGCCAAAUGGCGUGUCCCUGGCGUGUCCGCGUGUCAGACACCGCCACGGCACCGAUUUUGGAGUGUCCAUGCUUCAUAGCCUCUAGAGAGUAAGGGUUGAUGUUGCUAUUACACCGAAAUAUUCACUGAAUGUAUUGAUCGUUGAUUUCCUUUGGCUUGUUUCCAGACAGAUGAUUUGCAGGACCAUAUCAUUAUCUGUGGAUUUGGACGUGUUGGCCAGAUCAUUGCGCAGCUUCUUUUAGAACGACUUAUUCCAUUUGUUGCUCUUGAUGUGAGGAGGUAUGCUUCCAUCACAAUGAAUUGAUAUUCCUGGAAUAAAGUCAAUUUUGGGGCUGAGAGAGAGAAGGGAUUGCUGAUUGAAUAUUCUGCUGAAAAUCUUAGUCAUAUGAGUGUGGGCUGUGUUCAUUGUCUGACAUGCUGCUUGUAUUCCUGGCCAUGAGGUGCUCCAUAAAGUUGGUGCUGAAAGAGCAUGUGCAGCAGCAAUAACUUUAGAUACCCCCGGUGCAAACUAUAAAAUAGUGUGGGCUUUGAGCAAGUAUUUCCCAAAUGUCAAGACAUUUGUCUGUGCUGAUGACGUUGAUCAUGGCCUCAUUUUGGAAAAGGCGGAAGCAACAGCGGUUGUCCCCGAGACCUUGGAACCUAGUCUCCAACUAGCUGCUGCUGUUCUUGCACAGGCUAAACUGCCCAUGUCAGAAAUAAAAGCUAUUAUCAACAAGUUUAGGUCCCACCAUCUUUCUGAGCUUACCGAGCUCUCUGAAGCAAGUGGAGGCUCUCUCGGUUAUGGAUACUCUCGGAUCAUGAGUAAACCCAAAUCUCAACCCUUUGAUUCUUCAGAUGAUAAUCAAAUCACUGAAGGAACACUGGUAAUAUAACCCAUCACCCGAAGAUAAGAACUGACAUAAUAAUAUUAAAAAAUAGAUCACAAAGAACUGUACAGCAGUUUACUUGAACCCUUUGGUAUAACUUGUAUAGAAAUAUAGUUGAAUUAGUGGCAGUAGCAAACGCAUUUGUUGAUUAGUCACAUGGACAUUUUUGUUCUAAUAAUGCCUCCUGCGUGAAAGGGGCGGCUGUUCUUUUUCUUUCUUCAAUUGUAUUUUGAUCUGAUAAAUUUUGGUAGGCCCUCGUAAAACUGUCUAAAAGGACUUUCUUAUCUCACUAAUCACAUUGCAUUCCAUAAUCUUACAGUACUUUCUUAGCUGUUAGUUUUGAUCAUGUUGUAUAAUGCAAAUGGUCAAAAUGAUAUGAUGCUACAUAUAGAGAAACUGUUUU